rnacentral:rRNA from 1 species
UACGUAGGGUGCAAGCGUUAUCCGGAAUUAUUGGGCGUAAAGAGCUCGUAGGCGGUUUGUCGCGUCUGCUGUGAAAACUGGAGGCUCAACCUCCAGCCUGCAGUGGGUACGGGCAAACUAGAGUGCGGUAGGGGGAGAUUGGAAUUCCUGGUGUAGCGGUGGAAUGCGCAGAUAUCAGGAGGAACACCGAUGGCGAAGGCAGAUCUCUGGGGGCCGUAACUGACGCCUGAGGAGCGAAAAGCAUGGGGAGCGAACAGG